ACACGUCUGGGUUACUAUUUAAAAUGUAACCUGUGUCAGGGACCUAAGGGAGGGAAAUCAAAGAGUUAUGACGCCUUGCAUGGUUAAGUGUUUGAAAGUUUUUUCAGGUCAGUUUGCUGCAAGCGGUAUUUUUGUUGCAAAUCAUCUGGUCUUUUAGUGUGAGUUAAUAAGUCAAUUUAUGGUGGUAGUAGAUUUAUUUGAAUGUGGGAUGAGUUUACCCACAGGAAAGCAGGUGUGGAUGCCUCCCCAUUGCAAAACUGUUGAAUAUCUGUCAAGUCCUCCCACUGCUUUCCCCCUCUACUUUACUGGAUUGCCUACAUUAAAUUCUUGCAUGACAUUUAUUUUCUCUGGGGUUAUUCUGGCUGGAUUUUACAUUGCAAUGUAAAUUGCAUUGCACAGCCAGCAUCUGUCCUUCAUGAUUCCAGCAUGUGUGGAGCUCAGAUACCUGUGUCAUAUUCCUAGUUAAUAAUUGCUGAGUAGUGAUACUGAAGCAUGAGGCUGGUCUUGUGCUGAAGUCCUUGAUUUUAUUUCCCUAAGGGAAGAGGAGCAUGUAUAGGCAUAGCUGAAUUUUAGUUAUUUAAUACACAAAUAUGCUAUGGCUCUCUCUCAAAAUGAAGAAGUGACUCACAAAGAGCAUCUUCUGCUAGAUAUAAUGGAUAACAGUUAAACUUUGAGGAGCUAGACUGGACUGUUGCAUUUGAUGGACACCAUCAAAGAAAAUCCUCUCAAGAGCAUCUAGGAGAGGGAUACUGAACACUGAUCUUGUUGCCCUGGAGAUCCAAAGGAAGUAGCAGACUUGCAGGCUCAGGAUCUGUCUGAAUCACACCCUCAUCAUUAACUGUGCCACAGCUGGAGACUGUGGGAUCACACCUGAAUCUUUCUGUGCCUUUUUGAAGAUGUUCCUCAGGGUAACCUACUCCAAAAUAAAGAAAGUCUGCAGAAAUGCACAUGCCAGCACAAGCACCAGUUGACGCCUUUGGAUAACAGAUGAAAUGUCUGUUCAACCUAUGUUGGAAGAAGAGGAGUUCAAAUGAUGACACAUUCAAAGAACUUGAGCUCAUCCAAAGAGAGGGAUAGAAAGAAAGGUGUAGAAAAGAUUAUGGCCUAAAGUAUGAGGAGAGGGAAAAGGACAGAAACUAGAAAUAACUGCAGGGGUUGACAGAGUGAAAAACAAAUGUCCGGGAGAAGAAGCCAGAGCCUUCAUACCAGUCCCUUAUCUCUGUAUUGUUGGACACACCAUUCAGUGCAACAUCACCUAGCAAUGGGACUUCUCAAGGCAUUCUAGACUACAGGACAAUAAAGAAAUGCUGUAUGACAACAGGUAGGGACAAGCCAUUCAACCAGCAUCCCACACCCUUAAAAUGCCGAAAACAGUUUUAAAAACCCUAUGUAUGCCUAAUUGUGACCCUAAAGUAAAAGUCUUGCGUCCACAUUAGCUUUUCACUUUCCUUUCUAUAAUGUUCAGAUCAGUUUGUAUGCUCAACUAUUUUACUCAUGAUAAAGUUAGAAAAGUCUGUAUCCAUUAUUAAUAAGCAUUAUUAUGUGUGAAAUAACUUUCCUCUUACCUUUGCAUACACCCUCUUAAAAUAUCAUAAUACAAGCCAUGUCCCACAGUAGUUACAUAGUAGCACAUGUGCUAAGACAAUGAAUAAAGUGUGGAACACUUGUAAACAAUAUGUA